rnacentral:rRNA from 1 species
CCUACGGGUGGCUGCAGUGGGGAAUAUUGGACAAUGGGCGAAAGCCUGAUCCAGCCAUGCCGCGUGUGUGAAGAAGGCCUUCGGGUUGUAAAGCACUUUCAGUGGGGAAGAAAGCCUUGGGGCUAAUACCCUCGAGGAAGGACAUCACCCACAGAAGAAGCACCGGCUAACUCCGUGCCAGCAGCCGCGGUAAUACGGAGGGUGCGAGCGUUAAUCGGAAUUACUGGGCGUAAAGCGCGCGUAGGCGGUCUGAUAAGCCGGUUGUGAAAGCCCCGGGCUCAACCUGGGAACGGCAUCCGGAACUGUCAGGCUAGAGUGCAGGAGAGGAAGGUAGAAUUCCCGGUGUAGCGGUGAAAUGCGUAGAGAUCGGGAGGAAUACCAGUGGCGAAGGCGGCCUUCUGGACUGACACUGACGCUGAGGUGCGAAAGAGUGGGUAGCAAACAGGAUUAGAUACCCCAGUAGUC